rnacentral:rRNA from 1 species
UACGUAGGGGGCGAGCGUUGUCCGGAUUUAUUGGGCGUAAAGAGCGUGUAGGCGGCCAGGUAGGUCUGCUGUGAAAACUCGAGGCUCAACCUCGAGACGUCGGCGGAAACCAUCUGGCUAGAGUCCGGAAGAGGAGAGUGGAAUUCCUGGUGUAGCGGUGAAAUGCGCAGAUAUCGGGAGGAACACCAAUGGCGAAGGCAGCUCGCUGGGACGUUACUGACGCUGAGACGCGAAAGCGUGGGGAGCAAACAGG